GGCGGGAGUGGGGGUGCGGGUCCCUCGUCAGCGUCCCCGGGGGUGGCGAGGCCCUGGCGCUGGGGUGGAGGCCGGGCUUCUCGCUCGUCUGCGCCGCCGACUCGCUGUGUGGCCGCGCUGAAGGCCCUGCCCGGCCCUGGGCCCCGCUUCCCAUCUGCUGGUAAACUUCAAAAGUUCAACUUCCUUGGCUUCAUCCCUGAAGAUUCUUAUUUUUGACUGGAAGUUCCACGGAAGUCAAGGGAGCAGGAAGUGCUUGUGGAGGAGAGGGCAGCAGCAGCGGUGAACUGCCCUUGUUAUUACAGCGCUGCCUGUCAGAAUCGCCAGCGUCCGCAGCACUUGAACCUGAGGGCAAGCAGAGCGUUUGUGAAAGGCACGAAUGGCUAAAUGUCCACUGAGAGGCACAGAGAGGGGCCGCCUCAUGCUUAGGCAGAAGAAAUGGCCCCAUAAAAUGCCCCUGUCCCCUCCCUGCGACAGUGUAGUCACAGGCAAGCUCCUGCCCCGGAACCGCAGCUCCUGGAAUGCCAGCGAGGAGAGUCAUGCUUCCAGGGAGAGCAGUCGCU
rnacentral:lncRNA from 1 species